GGACACUAAUCUGAACUGAUGGACAAUGAAAGAGAGAGCGAGGUCAACUGUAAAGCCCGCCCACAGAGAAAACUGAUAGGUCUACGUAGCACAAAGUCUUUUAACGUCAGCUACUUACAUCCAAUGAUCUUCGCUGGUGAGUGGACCACUCACUGCAACCUGGGAUUGGAGAGGGAGGAGGAGGAGGCAGGAAACCAAACGUUGAUAGAGGUGGUCACAACACUCUCAAUGAUGGCUCUACAGGAUUCACAGCAUCUGCAAUGGCUUCUAAUGUGCAAGGAAACAUCUCCCCAAUAAAAACCCGUUUCAUAACAGUCGAAUUGCUGUACAAAAACCAUCUCAGUCCUUGGUCCCUGUUCAGACUAACCCUGAAACUAUUUCUGGAUACAUAAAAUAUUCAGCACAAUUUUGAAAACAAAAGAUGUUUUAAACCUUUUGCUGUGAAAAACAGUGAAGUGGUUCAGCAGAAAUUCCCCUGUGGCCUAGUCUUCAAUUCUCUGCUUGAUUUGAACAUGAACUUGUUUUUUUGUCCAAUUACAGUAGCUGCAUAUCGAGUUCACGUGAUCAGUUCUGCAAAUCACCACUUCUUAAGCUGCAGUAGUUGGAAAGAGAUAAGGCUGAGUAGCUCUUGCAUGAAUAUCUUGUAAAUUAGCAAAGAGUUACACCCUAUCAAUGAGGAAACAAUUUAACUUCAUUCAUCAUUAACUUACUAAAGGAAAGUUUAGUUUCUAGAUUUUGUUGCUUUCCUGCACUAACAUGAAUUGAUUUAUCUUUGGCUAUUUUAGCUUGCAAAUUAUGCGAGACUAAAUUGGAACAUUUGCAGAAUAGGAACAAAAGCCUCAUCAAGGAAACUUGCAGACGAGGUGUUAGAUCUUUAUAAAUUUGUAAAACAGGAAGGAUUAGGUCUAAAAGAACACAUCUUUCUACAUGUUGAAAAACAUACCAUUGUGCAUUGUUUGUGAAAACACUUUCUCACAUAAUAGAAAAAGGAAGAAAUCAAAAGAAGACAAAAUAUAUUAAAA